GGGGGCCCGCACAAGCGGUGGAGUAUGUGGUUUAAUUCGAUGCAACGCGAAGAACCUUACCAGGGUUUGACAUCCUGCGAAUCUCUUGGAAACGAGAGAGUGCCUUCGGGAACGCAGUGACAGGUGGUGCAUGGCUGUCGUCAGCUCGUGUCGUGAGAUGUUGGGUUAAGUCCCGCAACGAGCGCAGCCCACGUCUUUAGUUGCCAGCAUUGAGUUGGGCACUCUAGAGAGACCGCCGGUGAUAAACCGGAGGAAGGUGUGGAUGACGUCAAGUCAUCAUGCCCCUUACAUCCUGGGCUACACACGUACUACAAUGCUACGGACAAAGGGCAGCAAGUUCGCGAGGACAAGCAAAUCCCAUAAACCGUGGCUCAGUUCAGAUCGUAGGCUGCAACUCGCCUACGUGAAGGAGGAAUCGCUAGUAAUCGCAGGUCAGCAUACUGCGGUGAAUACGUUCCCGGGCCUUGUACACACCGCCCGUCACACCAUGGAAGUUGGCCACGCCCGAAGCCGUGCUCC
rnacentral:rRNA from 1 species